AGCGCGAAUACCAGAAAGGUUCCCGUGAACAACCGAGUCGGAAAUAAAAUAUCCAACGGAUAUAAUAUAAUAAUAAUAAUAAUAUUGUUCGGCGGCGCGCGUGAUCGGUUAUAAUAUAAUAAUAUUCUGGUUAUACACGCACGGAGGACCCACUAAACGUAUUGUGUGUACAUAGGUUUUGAAAACCCUGUUUGACCGACAAGUAUUCCAGACCGAAAAUAACAAUUAUUAAUAGUGCGGCCGUACGAAUAUGGAAUUCACGACGCAUUAUACAGAAUGGUAAUCCUACGGUUGCGGACGGCGUUCGCCGCUAUACGACAUAAUACGAUAAUUG